rnacentral:tRNA from 1 species
GGAUUGUGACUCAGUGGUAGAGCCCUCACCUAGCACGUGCAAGGUCCUGGGUUUGAUCCUCAGCACCA